rnacentral:sRNA from 1 species
CAUUUUUCUUUAGGGGAAGUUGACAUUAAUCUUUUAUGUUAAUAAUAACCUAUGCAUGCAGUACAGAUGCUGUUCAUCAUCUUUGCAUAAGCAAGCCUGCUCAAGAAGCUGCUGCAUGGAAGUCAAAAUAUGAAUUAUUGCCACCAGUCUUGAAGUCAGCUUGUAAAGAAUGCUAAGAAUUGAAUGAAAAUGCUGUCUUGAUAUCUUGUUUGUGCUGUUAUAUUUGUCUUUUGUGUUGGUUAAUUAUUCCAUGAAUAAAAA